UGACUAUGAGACUAUUCUAAACCCCAAUGACUUUGAGACUAUUGAAUGGUAACAUUCUGUCUCCAAGAGGUUGCCGUCAACCAACAUUCUGUCUCUAAAAUGUCAGCUUCAGAUAGCACUGGGCAGGCUAUAGAGGUGGAUUUACCCCCUUGAUGCUAAAGUAGUCAAAGCUAUCUGGAAAGCAAAAGGUCCUAAAAGGGUAAGGUUUUCACUUCGGGUGCUUGCACAGAACCAGUAAGUACCUACACGACAACAAACUUUGAAAAAGAAUAAAAAAUGAAAAAUAAAAGAAGAAGAAGAAGAAGAAGGUUGCCAAACUACUUUUUACCCCCUGGCUUAGUUAAUGUUCUCUUUGUCGAAACUCUUCACUUAUUCACAGUUCCUUCGCAGACAAGUGUUGAGAAUACUUCUUAAUUAAUCCAACAUUCCAAAACAAUAAUAGUGACAGAGGUCUUACUCAUCUUCUUUGGGGUCAUCACCAUUCAAAUGGCAAGCCAGAGUUAUUUGGUCAAGUACUAAUAAGACUAUACUUCAUGCAAGUUUUGUUUUCAAUUAAAAAUUAUAGUAAUAGCCUCGAAGAUCAGUUACAAGAUAUAAACAUAGAAUAGAACAGGUAAAUUCCACCAUCACGCGUGAAUUUGUUCCUGUUCAAAUACGGACUUCCUGCUUGAAAACUACCAUUGAAGCCACUCCUAAUGAACAUCUAAAAUAUGUAUUUUUAGCAGAAUAUCAUUCCAAAAAUGUUAGGAUCCAAAGCAUGAAGGUGCCAUAUUUUAGAACAAAUCAGGAAUUCCUAAAUAAGACAUACAACUCGAUUUUGAUUUUCCGUCAUUCCGAAUCAGAUCAAUGAAGUGGUACAUUAAGGAAAAAAACCCCUACACAUCCACAUUAUAUAAGAAAAGUAAAGAUGCAGCUAUCCAGGUUGAAUACUUUCAAAAGUCCAGCAAACCAUUUAAACUUUUUCUUGAAGGGAUGAUUUUUUUUAUAAUAAAAAUCCCAGGGAUAAGGAAAUGUAUUUCGAAGGUAAACGAGAAAACAGUAACAAAACCCAAUUGAAGAAUCGAAAAAAUAAAUAAAUAAAAA